rnacentral:misc_RNA from 1 species
AAGUCGUAACAAGGUUUCCGUAGGUGAACCUGCGGAAGGAUCAUUACCGAUUCGCGACGGUUCGCAGGCGCGGUGCUGCGGGGUUUCCCCCCGCGGCCCGCGUCCUGCGGCCAUCGCAUCUACCCUUCACUGUACGAGCACCUUUUCGUUCUCCUUCGGCGGGGCAACCUGCCGCUGGAACCAACAACCAAACCUUUUAUUAACAGCAUUACCCGUUCCGAUACCAACAAUCAAUUACAACUUUCAACAAUGGAUCUCUUGGCUCUG